AUGACACCCAGACGUGCAGAUAAAAUUUAUUCAGGAGGACAGUCACACUAGUUGGAGAAUAAGGGUGGGGGAGGGAUGGAGAGAGAGGGAUGGCAAGGGUUACUUGAAGUUAGAGAAGUCAA